UUCCUCUCCUCACCUUCUUAUCUGGCUGCUGGGAGCAGAGCAAAGAACAGAGCACACUCUGGUUAAAAUGAUGAUUUGUAAGACAGGUCUUCUGUUUUUAACCUUUUACCUGGCAGGUGUUGGUGGUCAGACUCUGACUGAAUCUGAACCAGUGGUUAAAAAGCCAGGAGAGUCCCACACCCUGACCUGUACAGCCUCUGGUUUCACUUUUGGAGACUAUUGGAUGCACUGGAUCAGACAAGCACCUGGAAAAGGUUUGGAAUGGGUUGCAGCUAUCAGUUAUUGGGCUGGAAGUGACAAACGCUACUCUCAGUCAGUUCGAGGCCGGUUCACCAUCUCCAGAGACAAUGGUAAACAGCAGGUGUUUCUGCAGAUGAACAGUCUGAAAACUGAAGAUUCAGCUGUUUAUUACUGCGCUCGAGAUGCACAGUGAUCAAAGUUGGUUUGGUAGCUGUACAAAAACAUGCAGCAACAAGUUGACAAACCUCAAACCUGAUGUCUAAAUUUGCUGUAAUUUAUAUAUUUAAAUAAAUGCUGUAACAUUUAUUUGACAAAGGUUUUUUUUGUUUUUUCUUUAAAUGUAAGGAAAUAUGUGCGAGACAAAAAAGUGACAGGAAAACAACAAACAAAUAAAUAAAUGUUAAACGUGUGGAUGUAAAUAAAAAUUGUUUUCUACAUUCAGCUCCUUUCUCCAGUCAGCGAACUUAACCUGACAGUUACAUCACUGUGGCCGUAAAAUGAUUAACAUCAUCCAUUCAUUUUCCUGGUAGAGGUAAGUUUUUAGGAGUAAAAACUAACCUCAGUCAACAGGGUUUAUGUAAACCAUCAGAAAUAAUUUGGCUGUUUGACCCUCCCUCCCAUGCAAAUCAGCAGUCUGUUAAAGUACGUCUGUUCCCUGACUAUUCUCACUUCAUUUGGAGCAUCAGAAACCUCAA